GGGCCCGUAGAGAAGCCUGGAGUUCUCGUCUCCCUGUCACGGAGAAAAUCGUGGGUUCAAAUCCCAUCGGGCCCGCCA
rnacentral:tRNA from 1 species